rnacentral:ncRNA from 2 species
AAUUACUUGUCGGAGUGCUGAGAUUAUUUCUAAAGAAAUAUUCAAAGCUGAGAUCGCGAAAGCGGGAUCCGUAGAACCUGAUCAGAUUAAUAUCUGCGUAAGGGAACAAGGUAAAAUAUAGC